CGCCUUUUGAAUUUUUAACAUAAAAGGUCCUGCCUGCCCAGUGACUCUGUUCAACGGCCGCGGUAUUAUGACCGUGCAAAGGUAGCGUAAUCACUUGUCUUUUAAAUAAAGACCAGUAUGAACGGCAAAACGAGGGCCUAACUGUCUCACUAGACCAGUCAGUGAAAUUGAUUUUCCAGUGCAGAAGCUGGAAUAUUUAUAUAAGACGAGAAGACCCUGUGGAGCUUUAAGCCUAAGCUAAUAUAUACUAUAUUAUAGCACCAGGUUUUAGGUUGGGGCGACCAUAAGAAAAACAAACUCUUAAGACAUUAACAAGAAGGACACUUCAAACAAAUAGUAAUACUAAUACAUUGACCCAAUAUUUGAUCAACGAACCAAGUUACCCCAGGGAUAACAGCGCAAUCCACUCACAGAGCCCAUAUCGACGAGCGGGUUUACGACCUCGAUGUUGGAUCAGGACUACCUAAUGGUGCAGCAAUUAUUAAAGGUUCGUUUGUUCAACGAUUAAAGUCCU
rnacentral:rRNA from 1 species